rnacentral:rRNA from 1 species
AUUGAGCGCUGGCGGCAUGCCUUACACAUGCAAGUCGAACGGCAGCAUGGAGAGCUUGCUCUCUGAUGGCGAGUGGCGAACGGGUGAGUAAAGCAUCGGAACGUACCGUGUAAUGGGGGAUAACGUAGCGAAAGUUACGCUAAUACCGCAUACGACCUGAGGGUGAAAGCAGGGGAUCGCAAGACCUUGCGUUAUACGAGCGGCCGAUGUCAGAUUAGCUAGUUGGUGAGGUAAAGGCUCACCAAGGCGACGAUCUGUAGCGGGUCUGAGAGGAUGAUCCGCCACACUGGGACUGAGACACGGCCCAGACUCCUACGGGAGGCAGCAGUGGGGAAUUUUGGACAAUGGGGGCAACCCUGAUCCAGCCAUGCCGCGUGAGUGAAGAAGGCCUUCGGGUUGUAAAGCUCUUUCGGCCGGGAAGAAAUCGCACAGGCUAAUACUCUGUGUGGAUGACGGUACCGGCAUAAGAAGCACCGGCUAACUACGUGCCAGCAGCCGCGGUAA